AUACGAAGGGGGCUAGCGCUGUUCGGAAUUACUGGGCGUAAAGCGCGCGUACGCGGAUUGGUCAGUUAGGGGUGAAAUCCCAGGGCUUAACCCUGGAACUGCCUCUAAUACUGCCAGUCUUGAGUUCGGGAGAGGUGAGUGGAAUUCCUAGUGUAGAGGUGAAAUUCGUAGAUAUUAGGAAGAACACCAGUGGCGAAGGCGGCUCACGGGCCCGAUACUGACGCUGAGGCGCGAAAGCGUGGGGAGCAAACAGGAUUAGAAACCCUAGUAGUCC
rnacentral:rRNA from 1 species